CCAGGGGGACAAUGGGGGACAUUUGGGGACAUUGGGACCAUGGGGACAUUUGGAGACACUUGGGGACAUUGGGACCAUGGGGGACAUUGGGACCAGGGGGACAAUGGGGGACAUUUGGGGACAUUGGGACCAUGGGGACAUUUGGGGACAUUUGGAGACACUGGGACCAGGGGGACAUUUGGGGACAUUGAGGGACACUGUGGGACAUUUGGGGACAUUGAGUCUAUGGGGCCAUUGGGGGACACUGGAGCUAUGGGGGCAUUUGGGGACAUUUGGAGACAUGGGGACACUGGGGGGCAUUUGGGGACAGGUGGGGACAUUUGGGGACACUGCUGUUAUGUGAGAGUGAGGCCAUAUUGGGGCUUUGGGGACAUUUGGGGCCGUGGGGUCCCUCACUGCCAACCCCGGCGCUUUGGGGACAUUUGGGGACAUUUGGGGACACUGAGGACAUUGGGCUAUGGGAUUUGGAGGCAUCGAGACGUGGGGAUAGGGGAUGUGAUGUCACGGAGAUAUGGGACUUGGGGACAUUGGGACAUGGGAAUAUGGGAUGUGGGGACAUGGGGAACAUUGGGUACACUGGGACACGGCGAUGUGGGGUUUGGGGACAUUGGGACAUGGCAAUAUGGGAUGUGGGGCACUGGGGACGCUGGGACACGGCGAUAUGGGGUUUGGGGACAUCGGGACAUGGCAAUAUGGGAUGUGGGGACACUGGGGACGCUGGGACACGGCGAUAUGGGGUUUGGGGACAUUGGGACAUGGGAAUAUGGGAUGUGGGGACACUGGGACACGGCGAUGUGGGAUUUGGGGACACUGGGACACGGCAAUAUGGGAUGUGGGGACACGGGACGCUGGGACACGGCGAUAUGGGGUUUGGGGACAUUGGGACAUGGGAAUAUGGGAUGUGGGGACACUGGGACACGGCGAUGUGGGAUUUGGGGACACUGGGACACGGCAAUAUGGGAUGUGGGGACACGGGACGCUGGGACACGGCGACGCGGGCUUUGGGGACGCACCUGAGAGCCGUUUGAAGGGCGGCUCGUGGCCGCGGGGCAGCCGCAGCCCGCAGGUGGUGCUCACCAGCUCCGUGAGGACGGCGGCCGUGCGCUCAUCGUUCUCCAGCUCCCCUGCAGACUGCGGCGGGGGGGGCAGCGGGGACACACGUCGUCCCCAGCGUCCCCAAUGCCCCCAUCCCCACCCCAAAGUACCCCCUCCC
rnacentral:lncRNA from 1 species